rnacentral:rRNA from 1 species
UACGGAGGGUGCAAGCGUUAUCCGGAUUCACUGGGUUUAAAGGGUGCGUAGGAGGGCAGGUAAGUCAGUGGUGAAAUCUCCAAGCUUAACUUGGAAACUGCCGUUGAUACUAUCUGUCUUGAAUAUUGUGGAGGUGAGCGGAAUAUGUCAUGUAGCGGUGAAAUGCUUAGAUAUGACAUAGAACACCAAUUGCGAAGGCAGCUUACUACACAGUAAUUGACACUGAGGCACGAAAGCGUGGGGAUCAAACAGG